rnacentral:rRNA from 1 species
UACGUAGGGUGCGAGCGUUAAUCGGAAUUACUGGGCGUAAAGGGCUCGUAGGCGGUCUGUCGCGUCGGGAGUGAAAACUCAGGGCUUAACCCUGAGCCUGCUUCCGAUACGGGCAGACUAGAGGUAUGCAGGGGAGAACGGAAUUCCUGGUGUAGCGGUGAAAUGCGCAGAUAUCAGGAGGAACACCAGUGGCGAAGGCGGUUCUCUGGGCAUUACCUGACGCUGAGGAGCGAAAGUGUGGGGAGCGAACAGG